CCUACGGGUGGCAGCAGUAGGGAAUAUUGCUCAAUGGGGGAAACCCUGAAGCAGCAACGCCGCGUGGAGGAUGAAGGUUUUAGGAUUGUAAACUCCUUUUGUUAGAGAAGAUUAUGACGGUAUCUAACGAAUAAGCACCGGCUAACUCCGUGCCAGCAGCCGCGGUAAUACGGAGGGGGCAAGCGUUAUCCGGAAUGACUGGGCGUAAAGGGUGCGUAGGUGGUUGUGCAAGUUGGUAGCGUAAUCCCGGGGCUCAACCUCGGUGCUACUACCAAAACUGUUGAACUUGAGUGCAGGAGGGGUGAAUUGAAUUCCCAGUGUAGCGGUGGAAUGCGUAGAUAUUGGGAAGAACACCAGCGGCGAAGGCGAUUCACUGGACUGUAACUGACACUGAGGCACGAAAGCGUGGGGAGCAAACAGGAUUAGAUACCCGAGUAGUC
rnacentral:rRNA from 1 species